AAUAUGCAGCCAUCAGCAACAGGCACAGCAGUAGGCGAGCGGGCAAGGAUGAAGGAGACAGGGCUGUACCACCUCCCCCAAACUUUACUGCCCUGGCAGGGAUCUUCUCAGUGCAGUGGCAGAACUGGUAAGGUCUUUCCCCCGCUUUGGUGACGCCUGUGUCUCCCUGACCAUCGCUCUGAGAGCAAAAGGGGGACACACACGCUGCUCCCUCGGGAGCGAGGAGGCUGGGUGUAAGCGCAGAUCCCUGUGCUUCGUGCACUGGGGGGGCGGGUUGCAAAGGCGGCAGAGCCCGGCGGCCCCCGGGAACACGCUGCAGUUCCGUUUGCUAAGCGUAGAGGGGGCACGAGGCGAAGGGGAUCAGGGCCACCGGCCGAUCGGAUUCGUGCGGUCCCUCGGCAGAGACAAAGGCAGGGGACAGCGCGGCGGCACCCCCCGGGGCUGGCCUCAGGCAUGGUUCCGUGGCCUGGCCACUUGUGUCUGCUCCUGGAUCAUCCUCACGGGGUUCUUGCAUCAGAAGGGGCAAUACACCUGGAUAGUCCCUGAAAGGGUUGGAGUCUUUUCAGCAUUUGUGUACAUGUUUACAGCAAAAGAUUUCAAGUGUAGAUAAGCUGCUUAUUUACAGCAAAAUAUUUCAAGUGUGGCUAGGCUACAUACUGACCAGCUAGAUCACUAUGAAGAGGAGACGGCGAAAACAACUGAGUGAAGCAGCAGCUAAGAGCUCAAAGCCAAUAACUUCAUUUCUCAAACCACUAGAAAACAUACCUUCCCCAACAAACAAUGCUACAGAUAAUGAAAACGCCGCAACUGCAACAGGUGAUUUUUCAAUGCCGAUACCUGAACAUGAGGACAGUAGUCAAGAAGAUGUGCCAAUAGUAACAGAUGCAACAGAAGAUCCAGUGUAUGGUCAAGAAACUCAACAGCAACAGGAAGAUGUAGAUCUUACGCAGCAAGAGCAAUUCAUGAGUACUACAGGUGUGACUGUGACUGACAUUGGAAUUAUUGACAAGACCAAUGCUGCCCAAAUACAAUCUUUUCUUCAAAUUAGUUGUUUUGAAAUUCCAAGUAACAUUCCACAAGAUGCUGAUAAUCAUGCUUUACCUACUCGUCUGCUGACAAAAACUCUUCCAAAUGGUGAGACCUGCACAAGAGACUGGUUAUGUUGGAGUACAGAACAACAAUCUCUGUACUGUGCAUCCUGCUUCGUUUUGAACAAAAGUGCUGCAAAUGCAUCAGUUCUCUCUGAUCAAUCAGGAUGGAGCAUCAACAGAGGUUGGAGGAAGUUGAAAGACCAAAUACCUUCACAUGAGAGUUCAACGUCACACAAAGAAAACUAUGUUGCAUAGAAAUCAGCCAGUAGGGCAGCAUUAGCUGAAAGUUCAGUUGAGAAUUUACUCUUGACUGAACUCUCUACAGAAACUAAUAACUGGAAAAAACUUCUUGAGUGCAUCCUGAAUGUCAUCCUUUUUCUUCCUGAGCGGGGAUUGGCUUUCUUUGGUUCCAGUCAACAUAUUGGUGAUCGUGCAAAUGGAAACUUUCUAGGCAUAGUUGAGCUCCUCAGCAAAUAUGACCCACGUUUAUCAGAGCAUGUUAAAUGUGUUUGAGAAUCGCAAGAGAGUCAAAAGUGCAUGCAAGUCCAUUAUCUCUCUACACGCAUACAAAACGAGUUUAUUGAGUUACGUGGGUCAUUCAUACAAACAACAAUUCUUGAUGAGAUUCGAAAUGCCAAGUAUUUUUCAAUCAUUGUUGAUGCCACUCCAGAUUGUUCUCACAAGGAACAGACGGCUAUGGCUAUUCAAUAUGUUAAGAUUGUAGACAGCUCAAUAUUUUCAAUUGAGGAAAGGUUUAUUUUCUUUGAUAAUUUCAUGAGAAAAACUGGAAAAGAAAUUGCUGCUUGAGUACUAGCAAUUCUAGAAGGUUUUAAGUUAGAUUUUCAAGUCUGCAUUGGUCAAGCCUAUGACAAUGGAUCUAAUAUGGUUGGGAAGUACAAAGGUAUACAAGCAGUUCUGCUUGAGCAUAAUUCAAACUGUAUUUUCUCCAGCUGUGGAAACCACACACUAAACCUUGUAGGUGUUGACUGUGCUGAAUCAUGCGAGGAGGCAAUUACUUACUUUGGAACUGUUCAACAAAUGUACCAUCUCUUCAGUAGCAGUCCCCAAAGGUGGGGAAUUCUGAAGCAAUAUCUUCCUGUUUCACUGCAUGGGAUGUCCAAAACUAGAUGGUCUGCAUGGAUUGAUGGUAUUCAACCAGUUGCGCAGCAUUUGAAUUCAGUGAGAAAGGCUUUAAAUGAGCUUGAAUCUCUCAAUCUCACUGCACAGGCUCGAACUGAACUUCAGUCUAUUCAGAAGCACAUGUCCAAAUUUGAAUGAAUUCUGAUGUCAUCUUUGUGGAUGAAGCUACUUACAAUGAUCCACCAAACUAAUCUGGUAAUUGAAGCACACAAUGCUACACUUGAUGUUGAGAGGGAUAACAUUGAAAGUCUUAUCAAUGACAUUCAACAGAUUCGUGAACAAUGGGAUGCGAUCCUGACUGAGUCCAAAUUAGUAGCACAGAAUAUUGGAAUUUCAUCUGAGUUCUCCACCAAUUGCAACUUAUCUACUGAAUCCGAUGCCGAGCAGCAUUAUAGGGUCAGUGUCUUCCUUGUCUUCAUUGACUCUAUUCAAUCAGGUCUUACAUGUCGAUUUGAGUCACUGAGACUAAUUUGUACCCUUUUGGGGUGUCUUUGGCAGUUCAACAGACUGAGUAAUGAAGAUCUGCUUUCUGCAGCUGAACAAUUUCAGCAACAGUACAACAAAGAAAUCUCAAAAGAUCUCAGUGACGAGGUCAUCUUCCUCAAACGAAUAUAUUUGACGAACUUUAAAUUGGAUUGCAAGCCAAAGGAAUUGCUUCAAGAAAUACUCAAACUUGGACUCUCUGGGGUGUUUCCUAAUAUCACAAUUGCACUGCGUAUUUUUGUCAGUUUGCCUGCAUCAGUGGCUUCAGGUGAACGCACCUUCAACGUGUUGAAGCAGGUAAAGAACUAUCACUGUUCAACAAUGGGACAACAGCGUUUGAAUGGGCUCGCCAUGCUUAAUAUCAGCUGUGACAUUGCACAAAAGCUAGAUUUUUUCCUCAAUAAUUAGUGUAUUGAUUUGCACAGAAAAAGGCUAUAAAAGCAUUUGUUAAAUA